rnacentral:rRNA from 1 species
CCUACGGGUGGCUGCAGCAAGGAAUUUUCCGCAAUGGGCGCAAGCCUGACGGAGCAACGCCGCGUGGGGGAUGACGCGUUUCGGCGUGUAAACCCCUUUUCGAGGGGACGAAGCCAGUGACGGUACCCUCGGAAGAAGGACCGGCUAACUACGUGCCAGCAGCCGCGGUAAGACGUAGGGUCCAAGCGUUGUCCGGAGUUACUGGGCGUAAAGCGCGCGCAGGCGGUCCCGCGCAUCGGUGGUGAAAGCCCCCCGCUUAACGGGGGAGGGUCCAU